AUGUGCCUCCUCGCUCCUCGCUUUGUCCUUCUUCAUCGUCUUCCUGAAAAGAUUGCCGGCCAUGGGGCUGCCCGUGCUGGUUGCACAGCCCGCAGCGCUCGUCACCCCGGGCCAUGGCGCCGCCCGCGCUCAUCGCCAGGCCGCCCGCCGCGGCGCUCGUCGCCCCGGCCAUGGCGCCGCCUGUGCUCGUCGCCCCCGGCUGCCCGCGGCGCUCGUGCCCGCAGCCGCCCAGUGCUGCAACCCUCCACCCAUCGGAGAUGCCACAGCUGUCACCGAGAUGCUGCGAGGGCAGAGACCAUGCUGGGAUGCUCCAACGCUGACGACGGCAGGCGACAUGACCCAGCAGCAUCAUUUUGCUGCGACCAGCGAAGCAUCUUGCUGGAACCAGCAAAACCAAUUGCUGGAACCGGCAUGUCAGUGAGCUGGAAAGGGAAGUGGGGCAGUGGAGCUACAAGCCUACAACCUCAUGCGCCCGGAGCUGCAACCGCCCGCAAAAAAGCUACUACCCGCAGCCGAAAAAGCUACUAUCGGCAAAUUGAUUUGCUACCACCGACGAUGCCAGACGGUUGUAAGCGUCGAACAGAAGUUGCAACCCUGCCUGCAAAAAAGCUACUACCGGCAAUGGAAAAAGCUACUACCGGUGAACGUUUUUGCUACAAUGGGAGACGGUGA
rnacentral:rRNA from 1 species